rnacentral:rRNA from 1 species
UUUUUUAUAAAAAUAAUUUAUUUAUUUAAUGUUUUAGUAUUUAUUAAAAAUUAAUUUUUAGAUUUAUAGUUCAAUAGUAUUGUGAAAGAAAUUGUUAAAUUUUAUAAAGAAUUUAUUAGUACCUUUUGUAUCAGGGUUGAUUAAAAUUUUUAAUUUUUUUUUAAUUUCUCAAAAUUUAUAGAGUUAAUUUUAUUAUUAAUUUAUUGUGUUAAAAAUAUUUAGAAAAUAAUAUUAGUUUUGAAAUUUAAUUCGUUAUAUUAUAUUUAGUUAUUUAAGAUUUAAAUUUAAUUUAAAAUUUUAAAAGUUAUAUUGAUUUUAUUGAUUAAUAUUUUAAAUUUAAAUUAUUUUAGGGAUAAGCUUGAAAUUUUUAUAUAAUAAUUUAUUUAUUUUAAUAAUUUAUAGGAAUAGAAAUUUUUAUUUUAAGUUUGUAAAAAUUUAUUAUUUAUUUAAUUUUAAUUUAUUAUAUUUAUAUUUAUUUUUUUUAUUAAAUUUUAUUAAUUAAUAUUUAAUUAAUAGUAAUAAUGAUUAAAUUAGUAUAAUUAAUAUAUUUAUAAAUUAUGAAUUCGGCAAAAAUUAUUUUCAUCUGUUUAACAAAAACAUUGUAUUAAGUUUAAUUUAAUAUAGGAUCUGCUCAAUGAUUUAUUAAAUAGCUGCAGUAUUUUGACUGUGCAAAGGUAGCAUAAUAAUUAGUCUUUUAAUUGAGGACUUGAAUGAAAGAUUUGAUGAGAAAUAGACUUUAUUAUUUAUAGAAUUAAAAUUUUAUUUUUAAGUAAAAAAGCUUAAAUUAUUUAAAGGGACGAUAAGACCCUAUAAAACUUUAUAAAUUUUAAUUUUAAUUUUUUUGGAUUUAUAAAUAUUUUAUUAUUAAAAUUUAUUUUAUUGGGGUGAUAAAAAAAAUUAAUAAACUUUUUUUAAAAUUUAACAUUAUUUAAUGGAUAUUUGAAUUAAAAUUUUUAAUUAAAGGAAAAAGUUACUUUAGGGAUAACAGCGUAAUUAAUUUUUUAAGUUCAAAUUUAAAAAUUAGUUUGCGACCUCGAUGUUGAAUUAAGAUUAAUCUUAGGUGCAAAAUUUUAAGUAUUAGGUCUGUUCGACCUUUAAA